rnacentral:rRNA from 1 species
GACGAACGCUGGCGGCGUGCUUAACACAUGCAAGUCGAACGCUGAAGCUCAGCUUUUGUUGGGUGGAUGAGUGGCGAACGGGUGAGUAACACGUGAGUAACCUGCCCCCUUCUUUGGGAUAACGCCCGGAAACGGGUGCUAAUACUGGAUAUUCACUGGUCUUCGCCUGGGGGUUGGUGGAAAGGGUUUUUCUGGUGGGGGAUGGGCUCGCGGCCUAUCAGCUUGUUGGUGGGGUGAUGGCCUAACAAGGCGUUGACGGGUAGCCGGCCUGAGAGGGUGACCGGGAACAUUGGGACUGGGAUGCGGCCCAGAGUCCUACGGGAGGCAGCAGUGGGGAAUAUUGGACAAUGGGCGCAAGCCUGAUGCAGCGACGCCGCGGGAGGGAUGGAGGCCUUCGGGUUGUGAACCUCUUUCGCUCAUGGUCAAGCCGCAACAAUGGUUGUGGUGAGGGUAGUGGGUAAAGAAGCGCCGGCUAACUACGUG